rnacentral:sRNA from 1 species
AAUCGUCCUGUGAAGCCUAGGUGUCAUG